GACGAACGCUGGCGGCGGUGCCUAAUACAUGCAAGUCGAGCGAGCGGAACCAACGAGAUUUACUUCGGUAAUGACGUUGGGAAAGCGAGCGGCGGAUGGGUGAGUAACACGUGGGGAACCUGCCCCUAAGUCUGGGAUACCAUUUGGAAACAGGUGCUAAUACCGGAUAAUAAAGCAGAUCGCAUGAUCAGCUUUUGAAAGGCGGCGUAAGCUGUCGCUAAGGGAUGGCCCCGCGGUGCAUUAGCUAGUUGGUGGGGUAAAGGCCUACCAAGGCGACGAUCAGUAGCCGACCUGAGAGGGUGAUCGGGCCACAUUGGAACUGAGACACGGUCCAA
rnacentral:rRNA from 1 species